UGAUUAUUUCAGGGAUAAAGUCAGAUGUGAUGUUUGACAGAGCUGGAUUCAUCAUCUCUCUCUUAUCUUUACUCAUUCUUCUGACUCUGAUGUUCAUCUCUGCAGCUGGAUGGAGGAUAAGAAAAAACUUCAGACGUCCUGAAGGAAACGAGAAACACACAGAAUGAUGUUUUGUAUUCAAAUGUCCAUGGACCGGCCGAGACCUCAGAACUGAAGAAGAGAGAAGAGUCUGAUGAUAAGGAUGAAGUUCAAUACUCUCAUCUUCAUUUCAGUAAAUAUAAAACUGCUGAUGUCCAGUAUGCUGUCAUUAAAGUCUCACAGCUCAGUGCUGACCUCUACUGAUAAACAACACCAUUACUCUUCAGACUGAUAUUAGUUGUAUUUGUGCUAUUUCAACAAUCUCUCUUAAUAGUUUAAAUAACUGUAUCUGUAUCGAAUCACAAUACAAGCAGGGUAUAAAAGGGAAUUGUACUAAACAUGCACAUUUAACUUCCUAACUGUACAACACAGUUCUUUAUGUAUAACAUCUCUCACAUGGCAUUAAGAAAUAAAGGAAGAAGAAGAGGUAUAACAACAUCCCUCACAAUAGACAUUAUGUCACAGCAGGUUUGCAA